rnacentral:rRNA from 1 species
UACGUAGGGUGCAAGCGUUAAUCGGAAUUACUGGGCGUAAAGCGUGCGCAGGCGGUUUUGUAAGUCUGACGUGAAAUCCCCGGGCUCAACCUGGGAAUUGCGUUGGAGACUGCAAGGCUGGAGUCUGGCAGAGGGGGGUAGAAUUCCACGUGUAGCAGUGAAAUGCGUAGAGAUGUGGAGGAACACCGAUGGCGAAGGCAGCCCCCUGGGUCGACACUGACGCUCAGGCACGAAAGCGUGGGGAGCAAACAGGAUUAGAGUACCCUUG